GACAGAGGGUGCAAACGUUGUUCGGAUUUACUGGGCGUAAAGCGCGUGUAGGCGGCUUUGCAAGUCGGAUGUGAAAUCCCACGGCUUAACCAUGGAAGUGCAUCCGAAACUGCAGUGCUUGAGUACUUAAGAGGAUCGCGGAAUUCCCGGUGUAGAGGUGAGAUUCGUAGAUAUCGUUUGGAACGCCAAUGGUGAAAACAGGUUGCUGGGAGUGUGCUGACGCUGAGACACGAAAGCCAGGGGAGCAAACGGG
rnacentral:rRNA from 1 species